CCCUUAGAUGUUCUGGGCCGCACGCGCGCUACACUGAUGCAUUCAACGAGCACCCGCUGGGCCGAGAGGUCCGGCUAAUCUUUGAACGUGCAUCGUGCUGGGGAUAGAUGAUUGCAAUUAUUCAUCUUCAACGAGGAAUUCCUAGUAAACGCAAGUCAUCAGCUUGCAUUGAUUACGUCCCUGCCCUUUGUACACACCGCCCGUCGCACCUACCGAUUGAAUGGUCCGGUGAAGCGUUCGGACCGUGGCCUUUGGACGGUUCGCCGUCUGUUGGCUGCGGGAAGUUCGUUAAACCUUAUCAUUUAGAGGAAGGAGAAGUCGUAACA
rnacentral:rRNA from 1 species